rnacentral:rRNA from 1 species
CAGCCGCCACGGUAAUACAGAGGGUGCAAGCGUUAAUCGGAAUUACUGGGCGUAAAGCGCGCGUAGGUGGUUAGUUAAGUUGGAUGUGAAAUCCCCGGGCUCAACCUGGGAACUGCAUUCAAAACUGACUGACUAGAGUAUGGUAGAGGGUGGUGGAAUUUCCUGUGUAGCGGUGAAAUGCGUAGAUAUAGGAAGGAACACCAGUGGCGAAGGCGACCACCUGGACUGAUACUGACACUGAGGUGCGAAAGCGUGGGGAGCAAACAGGAUUAGAUACCCGCGUAGUCCCUGUCUCUUAUAC